rnacentral:rRNA from 1 species
CGUAGGGAGCAAGCGUUGUCCGGAAUCAUUGGGCGUAAAGCGCGCGUAGGUGGCCACAUAAGUCCGUUGUGAAAGUCAAAGGCUCAACCUUUGAAAGCCGAUGGAUACUGUGUGGCUAGAGUACGGAAGAGGCGAGUGGAAUUCCUGGUGUAGCGGUGGAAUGCGCAGAUAUCAGGAGGAACACCAAUAGCGAAGGCAGCUCGCUGGGACGUUACUGACACUGAGGCGCGAAAGCGUGGGGAGCGAACAGGAUUAGAUACCCUGGUAGUCCACGCCGUAAACGAUGGAUACUAGGUGUGGGAGGUGUCGACUCCUCCCGUGCCGUCGCUAACGCACUAAGUAUCCCGCCUGGGGAGUACGGCCGCAAGGCUA